rnacentral:rRNA from 1 species
GAUGAACGCUGGCGGCGUGCUUAAUACAUGCAAGUCGAGCGCUGAAGCUUGGUGCUUGCUCUGGGUGGAUGAGCGGCGAACGGGUGAGUAAUACGUGAGUAACCUGCCUUUGACUCUGGGAUAACUCUGGGAAACUGGGUCUAAUACUGGAUAAGAUAUGGCACUGCAUGGUGGUGUGUGGAAAGGGUGUUUUUGGUUUUGGUUGGGCUGACGGCCUAUCAGCUUGUUGGGGGGGUAAUGUAAUACCUAGGCGACGACGGGUUGCCGGCCCGAGCGGGUGACCGGCCACACUGAGACUGAGACGCGGCCCAGACUCGUACGGGAGGCAACAGGGGGGAAUAUUGCACAAUGGACGGAAGCCUGAUGCAGCGACUCCGCGUGAGGGAUAACGGCCUUCGGGUGGUAAACCUCUUUCAGCACGAAAUAAGCGAGAGUGACGGUACGUGCAGAAGAAGCGCCGGCUAACUACGUG